UGGGAAAUCUCUGGAGGUCUUCCAGCCU
rnacentral:piRNA from 1 species